GUACAAAUAAAUACAUACAACUGUACAUAUAAAUACAUAUGAUUGUACAUAUAAAUACAUACGAAUUAUUAUUUAAACAAUAUUAUGUAUAUUUUGAUUUGAUAUUAUAAAAAACAAAAAAAAAAAAAAAAAUGAGAAAAGUAUGGACCCCUAUAAGAAGACCAGAAGAUCAAAAAGUUAUAAAAAAUAACUACAAUGAAGAAGAAAAAGCAAAUUUUGAAAAAUCCCUACCAAUGGGUUUCAUAGAAAACAAUAGAAACAAAAGGAUACCUUAUUUUGAAAUAAAAGAAUCUACAAUGGUAGAACAAAAAGAAAGGAAAGAAGCACAAAAAAUCUUAGCUUUAGAGUUAAGAGAUAAGUGCAGAGCCGAGAUUGACGAAUAUGUUGAGUGUACCGUAGGGCGACUGUGGACAUUUUUAAGAUGCAAAGAUUUUAUGAUAAAAAUGAGAAAAUGCUUAAAGCAAUAUGAAAACCUUGAAUAUGUAAAAUUUAGGGAGAAUCAAAUUAUUGAAGAAAGAAAGAAAAAUGGAACGAGUCUGUAUAGAUCGGAUGAAAGGGCUAGAUAUAACCGAUUUAUGUACACGUAAUAAUAAAAUAAUAACAUAUCAAUGUAAUGAUUAUAUU
rnacentral:lncRNA from 1 species